AGCCAGUGGGCACGGCACGAUAAAUGUGAAAGAAAGAUGCCCUUUCGUUGGCCUCCAAAGAAACUCACCCACUCUUCUAUUAAAAUAAAACCCCAUCUCUUUGCAUAGCCCCUAAACCCUCUCACAAGAUCUGAAGAUCGUACUUUGGGAACUUGAAGGAAGAAACCUCUCUUUCUCUCAAGUUAUGCGUGUGUUCGUGCUUGUUUGAAAGGCAUCUGUGGUGGAUGAGAUGGUAGAUCCUUGGUCAGAAUCUUCCUCCUCAGGUGACGAAGCAUUGAAAAUCACUAGUUUAGAGGAGGAAACAGAAGUUAUCGAUUCAUGGAAAAUUUCCGAGGACAAGGCAUGUGAUAUUGGAGUUUCAAUCUUUGGAAUGGGUGGCAUCGGUAAAGUUACUCUUCAUUGUCUAGAAUGUAGAAGAGAGCUGGGAGUUGUUCUGCAACGAGUAACUCUAACGGUUUUCUCUGAACAUUCGUAGAAAAAUCGGAAAUUCUCUGAUUACUCAAGUUUUUAGGACAACUCAUGUUCAAUUGAAGGAUGUUGUUUCGAAUUUGUCUCAAAUUUGUCUCACCACUUAGCUCAGGUUAGAAGAAAAUAACAAGUGCUUAACUCAGUUUCUAAUAUAAAGUGUUACGGCAUAAAUUCUUUGAUCAUGCUUACAGCUGGUAAAGUGGGACACAAACAAAGCAUGAUGAAGACAUAACAUUUAACAUCUGCAUUUUAAUGGUGUACCAGUUAAUUUUCAAUGGUGUAUAGCCUGUAUUUCUCAUAUGUGUUUUAAUGAUUUGUGGAGAUACUUGUUGAUUACUUUUUCCAAUUUAGAUCUUCAAUUGUUUUGUAUCACCAUUUCUUCAUUUUAAAGACCUUUAAGAAUCUUGUACACUGGGGACGAUAGCACAAAGAGUGAGUAACUCAGCAUGACACGAUUCAAGGCAUCUUCUUGCAGAUUUGGGGCUUGCAAGUGAUCAUCUUCUAAGGGACUGAACCAACAAUUCUUGAUGCAAAAACACUUGCACAGGCUUUAACACCGGAGAUCCAAGAACCUUGAAGCAUUUUGGCUUAAUUCCAUAAUAUGAGCAUGUUAUAUGCAUCUGGUAACAUUUUUAUUAUCUUCCUUUUUGUUUCUCUGUAAAGCCUAGAAACCAAAUGAAUUGGUUCAGUGCGAUUAGGUCUAGCUCUUGUGAUGCAUUUCUAUACCUGUAAUCUAGGACCACCAAGAUUUAUGUCAUGUUUUGGCUCA